GAAGCCAGUGCGCCUCAGCCCUCAGAAAACUUCACUUCCCACAAUGCUCUGCUCCAUUCUCCAGCUCGCGCAUAGGAUCACAGACGUCUUUCAGGAGGAAAUAACGGGUGCUCGGCUCUCUGUUUCUGAGGCAUGCUGUGGAAAUCUGAGCUUCAAAAUAGCAAACAUGGAAAAAAGACCUUCAAACCAACUCUAGUCAUUAGUUUUCUAAAACCAGGUUUACUGUCUUCCAUCAAGAGCUGUUCCAUUUUGUAGCCUCCUCAGUUUUAUGUAGCCAUUCCUGGAAGCUCUCCAUUUUGGAUGUGGGAUCGGUUGAGCUGUUUACCAGUGCUGGAGGAAAGGCCUAAUCCCAAAUCCUUCUGGAGAGCGCUAAAACACUGCCUGACUCGAAGCUGACGGGAUUAACUUCAUAUUAGAUUUAGGAGACAAGGGAAAGAGAACACCUGCUUGUUUUUACAGGCAAAUCCAGGCCUGGAUCUCGGAUCUUGUAUGCGAGACGCCACCUUCCAUUGUCAAGUUUGGCACACUUUGUGCACUUCCCAGAAUUGCCUCCUGUUGUAGGACGUGAUAAUCCAGAAUCAUUCAGAAUCAAGGUCAGACGUCCUUGACUGCAGAGAAGGGACGGUGCUCGCGUUCAGCCCCCAAAUAUUAAGACUAGAGACUUUGUUGGAUACAUUAUGGCAUUAAAAGCGUAGUGCACAAGCAGAUCUGCAUCAUCUGUGUCCGAGAAGACCCAUCAGCCAAGCUGGAAAGAAAAAAACGGCUUAAGAAAGAGGGGUGUAGUGAACCAGGUCGUUCUUAUUCUGCUCUGCUCUUCGUUGCGAUGGAGUGACCACUGCUCUGUGAAGGACUACACCCAACCCACAUCCGUCAGAUAAGCAGAGGAGGAUGAAACUGAAGAAGCAGGUGACUCUCUAC